rnacentral:lncRNA from 1 species
UUGAAGAUUUAUGUUGCAAAGAGAUCUCCAUAGUAUGAAAUGCUAUCAAAAUCCUGAAUUUAGUUUUAGGAAUUGGAUUUGUCCUUGUAUUUUCCAAUUUAAAAAAUUCUAAUAUAUGGAAGUAAAAUUCUUCAGCCUGAAUGAGUUACUAGGUAUCUGAUUCUUUUAAGUGUUGGGGUUGAAUUUAAUGUUAUAUUUUGUUUGAAAUUGGACCUAUAGCCCAAACAUUGAUAAAGAUUACAAUGCAGUCUAACUUACAAUUUAAUUCUACAAUUGAGUUCCGUUGACUGAAGGCAUAUGCGAUGGACACUUGCUAUGUUUGUUAAGAUAGGAUUCCUUGUUGUCAGAUUUUGAUUGAUGAGACCAAUGUCAGAGAUGCAUAUUGUUGAUAAAAAUAAUUGAUGUAGAAACUUUGAAGUUGCUUGAUUGUAUGGUUGAUUUGUCUCUAUAUAUCUUCAUGUCACCAAGGUUACUUGCAAAUUUUUGUCUGAGUCCGACCAAAACUUCAUACUAAUAUUACUAUUAGAAUAAUUAUUGAUUUCUAUAAAAUGUUAUAAAAACUGAACUGAUUGAUCAAUGAUAACUUUAAUAUAUUUACCAAAAAAAAAAAAAAAAAACUGGGUGCUAAAUUCUGAUGAGAAUCUUUAUUUUUUCUUUUUUCAUUUUUCAUUUUUUACUAUAUGACUUUCAUUAACAUGGUUGGUGCUUUUUUGGCAGGAAACUUAUUUUAGGUGGUGAAAUGUUAUUUUACAGGAAUAUGUUUUACAAACUGGGAAGAAUGCUUUCAAAAAUUUAGGGGAGCAAUUGGGGGACUUUGGAAAACAUUCUUUUUCUUUUCUUUGGAGAACUUUGGGAAACAACUAGGGAGCACUCAACAGAGUUAUGAUUCCCAUAGAUCUCUCCCUUUUUGAUGUUUCUCAAGCCUUUUUUUUCUCAUCUUUAUUUGCUUAAAAAAUUUCUUUAAUUAUCUCUCAGGCUACUAGUUUCCGAGGUUUUUUCCAAUUAUUUUGUUUUAUUUUAUUUCAAUAGAUAAGUUCCUUAACAUUCUCCUUGUACUUCUAGACCACACUUUUUGUUUGCUUCUUCUUCCCACCCAAGUAACUGCUCUGGAAACAUACAACAGACCUGAGUCAAAUUGUUCGAACUUUUAAGUUAUAAUCUGUUCAUAUCUUCUCUUUUUUCCCUACAAUUAAGAACAAGGUUACAAAGCUUAAUUGGUAAUAGGAUCUUAUAAACUCUUACAUUACACAAAUUGAACUUAUUAGCUAAUCAAAAGCCCAAUCUAGGAUAGUUUGGGUGUAGAUGAUGAUCACAAAACCUUCACCUUCACAAACCAGAAAUCUCACUGCCCCUUGUAGUUGUGUUGGCUUUCACUGUUUAAACCAUGUACAUUUUUUUUCUCCUCUUGUUGUAGCUUGUCAAAUUUCCCCUUUUUUAUUCUUGUUUGAGCUAAAAAAAAAAAUUGAGAAUUGAAGUAUAAAAUUUAAAAAAAGAACAGAAAAAAAAAAUGAUAGAAAGAAGAAAGGGGGAAAAAACCUUUCUUGCUUUUAUUCUUGAGCUGUUAUUACUAGAUAUCGCAGAAACAUACAAUUUCAUAUUGAUGCACACUGAUGGAUAUUGCAAAAGCAUAUGAUUUCAAAUCAUACAUAUUUCAUGUUUGAAACAAAUUUUUGUAAAUUGGGGUGUUUACUUGGUUGUAAAUAAAUUCAUAUGUUUCUUCUGACAGCUCUGUUUACUAAUAUUUAUAAUAUUACUGAGUAUCUCUGUAUUUUGUUCUCUUUGGUAAAACUGUUUGUGUUUGACCUUUACUUCUAUGUCAAUUUUCUUUCUUAAAGGGGAAGGUGACUAUUGAAGCUAAGGCUGGGGUGAAAUUGGAAAUACCCAAUGGAGCUGUAGUUGCAAACAAGGUAACGUUGCUGGAAACCAGGUCCUUCAUUUUAACCACAGGUUAUCGUUUUAUCUGCGCUCACUAUAUUAUUAUGAUUUUCAGGUGAUCAAUGGUCCUCAGGACAUCUAAGGAAACUGUUUGUCUUAAAUUUGUCUUGGAGAGUGUACACAUCUUAAAACCACUGUAACGGGUCCUAUUUUGAUCGUGCGAUGCACAUUAAGUAUUUGAUAGAAUAAGAGGACCAUUUUGUUUGCAAUGACACUCUUAUUUGAAAUAUUGCAAGUUUUAAUGGCUAUCUUUUUGCUGACUGGGAAAUAUUUUGUGAGAAUGGUGGAACUCCACCAGUAAUUAGAUGAAGUCCAGUGAAACAAAACUAAAUAUGGAAUGGUGGUGCCUUUAAAUGAGAUGCGUGGGUCUUGCUGGACUGAAAGCAUUGAUUUUGAGAAGGUGGGCGGGUGGGCUGUUAGCCCCGUGUUCCUUCUGACUAGGCCACUGGAUAUCUUUGGGGCUUUUUUUUUUGUGGAGCUCAGCCUGCUUGCUCUCGGGAGCUACCUAACAGAUUGUGUUUAUUUAGCCUUAUGGUCAUUCUCUGCGAGAACAUAUGAAAGAAAUCUAAUAGAAGAUGGCCCAAGUGGGUGUAUGAAAAUUAGACUUCUAAAAGGUAGGUUAGGAGCAGGUUUGGUAAGAUCUCUGUGCCUUGCUUUUUGACAGCUUCGAUGACAAUAAGCUGGGCCAUUAGAGGUCUAGCACUGUAGGGAUCCCUAGAAAAAUUUCCUGAAAGACGAUUAAGAGAAUUGAAGAUUCAAGGCAUGUGAGUUGUCGAAAAGCCGUCUUCUUGACGCUAUGCGGCAUCACCUCGGUACUUGGAUUGACCCCGACUUCAACCACGAGGCGUUAGUCCCCUUGCAGCUUGCGUUAUAAUCCUCGUUAACUUUGUGAGGAAAAAACCUAUUGGUUGAAGUCGAUGAUAGGAUGCAUCAAUUACUAUGAUUGCUAAGUUGUUAAUUAAUCUAAAAGCUUAGAGCAUCAUUGUUAUAUAUGCGGUGUCCUAGCCCGAUAGAUCCAAAAAACCUUGCUCGUAGGCCAUGUAUAUUAGUUUGAUUUAGUUGAGGAUCCGAAAUCUAUUCGCCUUAAAUGAAUGAACGUUGCUUUUCCAUACUGUCAGCCAUCACCCCAUUCCAUAUCAAAGCCAAAUUACUUGAUAAGCCUUUUUAUUUGGUAAAACUUAAUACUUAUUAUUUAAUAACUUAAAUUAGUUUUAAGUUAAAUUAUUUUGAAGUUGUUGAUUUUAAAUUUAUUAUUUAAUUUUUUACUUUUAAGUAAAACAAUUAUUUUGUAAGAUUAACUUAAAAUUUAUUUUAAAUCAUCAAUUUGAGAUAUUUCUCUUAAUUAUUUUUAACUAAUAUUUAUAUUUUCACUAAUCACAAGUAAUAAAUUAAUUUGUUAAAUAUCCACAUUUAAAAUAUUGGAGAUAUGUAAGAUAAUGACAAAAAUAUUUUACCAUAAAAUAUGAAUUGUGAAUGUGAAGUUAUAGUUGUAACAUAUUUUGACUGAGCAUGGACAAACGAGACAAAAGAGAUUUGAGAAUAAGAAUAAAUAAUUAUUUUAACUUAAUACUUAAAGUUAGUUUUUAUUUUAAAUUGUGAUAUUAGGUUGUUGUGAAAAAGUUUGGUUAAUCUUGGUUUUAAUGAUGUUUAGAAUUAAUGAUUAUAUGUUUAGAAUUAAUGAUUAUAUUUCAAGUAUGACUAGGUAAGAUGAGUUCCAAAGUGGCAAUUAUAAAGGCUAAAUCAAGUAAAAGGAAAAUCAAGAAAAAAGAUGAAGCCUCAAAGAGAAGAGCUUUCAAGAUAUUUCAUAGAAUCUCUUUGUAAUGUUAUUGGUAUAGUAGGUUUUUCAUGCAUCUUAUUUUGUUUGUUUUACACAAAAAAUUCAUCUAAGAGUUAUUUUAUUUAAAAUAUUUCCUAAUUGGAUGAUUUUUUAUUCUCAACUAAAAACCUUGUUAAAUACUUUUAAAAACUUGUUUAAAAGGUUUUGAGUUGAAAAAUAUGACUGUUGAGCUAAAAAGGGUCCAAUCGAUCAAGGGUGAACUAAAUUGACUCAACCAAUUAAGGAACCGGUUGACCUAUUGCCAUUUCUAGGUCGAGAACUGGUCAAGGGGUGCAAAAUUUUCUCUUUCUUCCAAAAGGGUUGUCUUCCUGAUUGAGGGAAAACCUUUCUUAGUAAAGGGUACCCAUUUCUAAACUGGUUGACCUACUGCCCUUUCUAGGUAGGUAUUUCACUAUUUGAGUUUUAAAUUAUUUUAAAAAAUUAAUAGACUUAUUAAUGAUCCAAUGUAUUAAGUCUUGUUUAAUUUUGAGUUUAUUUAUCAAGUGAAAAAAUUAGAAAAAUGUAGUUGGAUGUAGAAGAGAAACAAUAAAGUCACUUUAGUUUUGGUAUUAAUUUUAUCAUUAUUUGAGUUUUAAGUUAUUUUUAAAAAUUAGUAGAUUAGUUAAUAAAUGUAAUACAUUAAGUCUUACUUAUUUUAGAGUUUAUUUGAAUAGUAAAAAUUUUUACAAAAAUAUGAUUAUAUGUAAAGAAGAAACUAGUUAAGUCAUUCAAAAUUAAAUUUGGUUCAUGUUUUUCUAAUGUUAUUGACUUAUUUUAUUUAUCAAGUGUAGUUUGUUUGAAAUUUAUUUACUUAAUGAAAUAUUUUAUAACAAUUAAAGAAAAUUAAAAACAAAAUAUGCGUAAUUUGAAGGAAGAUCAUAUUUGAAGAUUUUUAGCAUUAAUAUUGAAUUAUGGAAAGUGGGAAAAAAAAUCAGAUUUAAAUUUUUUUUUUAUGGUUUGUUUAAUUUCUAUAUAUAUAUAUAUAUAUUAAAACAAAUGAAUUUAAAACCCAUUUUCUAUUUCACUUUGUUUUAAAAAUUGGAAAAAGAGAACUAUAGCCAAAUAAUGCUAUGAAUUUUUAAAAAUAAUUUUUUAUUUUUAAAAACAAAAAAACUGUUCUUUAAUCACCGGACUAAAACAAGCUCUACAUCUUUUCAACUCAUUAUCUAAAAUUAUUCUUAACAUAUUAAUCAACCUUGUUGAACUUACAACAGAGCUUUGGGCUUUUGAAAAGCCAAGCAAAUCACAAAGUUCAAAAGGCCCGAGAAGGUUUCAAGUUCAAAAAUAAGUUUAUAACAUAAGCAACCAUGGGUUAUCUUAUAAAAGCAUUUUUUUACACGAUAAGUAUGAAAAAUUAUUUCAUAUUAAGAGUGUGUUUGACAGUGAUUUUAGAAACACUAAAAAAUGUUUCUAACCUUUGUAAUACUUGAAAGAUUUUUUUUUCUUCAUGUUUUAGAAAUGUUAAAAGUGCUUCUUAGAAUCACUUUCAAUCGGACUCUUAACUAUUAAUUCGUUUAAAAAUAAAAAAAUAAAGAAUUAUUGAAACAAACUUGGAAAGAGCUAUAUGUCCAAAUUAAAUAACGGAGGUGAGUCAAGUCUUGCUUGCAACUACUUGUGUUUCCUAAACAGACUCCACUUUGGAUAAAUUUUGUUGAUUUUCUACUUCUCAAUUUCGAAUAUAAGAAGAGGGAGAAUUUGGAUUAUGUGUAGUCUUUUAUUUCUCUUUUCUAUUACUUCCAAUGAUUGAAACUGUUUUUAUUUUUAUUUUUUCAGUUUUUCAGUCUUGCGCACAAAAAUUUUCCAAUCUAUGCAUGAAUUAGAGAAACGAAUUCAUUUCUAGUAUAAUCAUCAAAAGAUACAAGCAAACAAACCAAAUUACAACAUGGGUGGACAUUUAUCCUUUCAUUUUUAUUACAAAAUAUGUAUGUAUCGAUAGAAGUAACCAGAGCCCCUUUAUUCUUUAAAUAUAAGUUCAGUAUCCUCUCUUGACUAGUACUGGCCUCCAUACCUGCACCAAGAGAAAAGAAUAUGAUCAAAUUGUAUUCCGAAGAAAUGGGCCUUCUUACACACAUAAGCAGUUGAAAUUAAGAAUAUUCUGUGAGGCCUACAGUUUCCUCUCUAUGGUUGGCGCUUGUCUCUUUUCUCAAUGAGGUAAAUUAGGUACGUGAUAAAUUGGGGGUCCACCAGGGAAACGGGGUGACGGUGGAGAUUUCUUAUAUGGUGUUGGUGGCGCUAGUGGCGUGGUAUGGUUGUUCUCAGGAGGAGGAGGUGGAGAUUUCUUAUAUGGUGUUGGUGGCGCUAGUGGCGUGGUAUGGUUGUUCUCAGGAGGAGGAGGUGGAGAUUUCUUAUAUGGUGUUGGUGGCGCUGGUGGCGUGGUAUGUUUUUUCUGAGGAGGAAGAGGAAAAUAUCGACGAGAUGGUGGCGAUUUGUAGUGAAGCCGUGAAGGUGGAGAAAAGCGGCGUGGAAAUGGGUGAGGGAAGCGUGGAGAGGAGUAACGCAAGUAUGCUGAGGUGUUGGGCAGCAAACUUAGAAAGACAACCACUAUGAAGAGAGAAGUGGUAAAGGAGGCCAUGGAGAUGGAGUCUUCCUUCCCCGUUUUGCUUCCCAUUUUCACAAGCAAAGUGCUAAUGUGUUGGACUGGUUGUGCUCCUAAGCUUUUCUUCUAAAGCCUUUUUAUACACAAGUUUUUUUUUUUUUUUUUUUUUUUGUGGAAAUUAACAACCAUCCUGCAUUAGUCUUGCGUCUUAGACACUCUUAAAGUCGUUUUUUGAUUUUUCAUUCAAGGAGAAAUCUUGGGUCUGCACCGUCAAAGAAGGCGGUUUACUUAUUGUUUGAUGUUGGCUGGCUGUAGAAUAGAAAAUUUUGAAGAAGAAAGAAAGAAUUUUGAAGUUUCACCGCUCCUUUAAAUUUCACGACAUGAAAUAAUUUUGUUUUAUUGGCAGGAGUUUCUUCUAUUUUCUGUGAAAACAAGAUGAUUUUCUGAAGUACUAGAAAUUAGGAAAUGGUGUAAAACCAAUGUAGACCAGAAAUUUAGUGGGGGAUGCGACACAUCAGAGUCUUUCCACUCGGCAAAGUCUCCAGCAGUUACAAUCAAAUUAUGUGGAAAAGAAGAAAAUUUUGAGAUGACUGGUUCUGCAGGCAUAGAGAAAGCACGAAAUUGAGCACUUCCAUAAGUACCAAUCGUAUUUCCUAGAAUUCCAAACCUUGAAAAGAUAUUCUCCUUUAUGAAUUUCAGUACCACCUUAUGAUCAUUUGUCUCACAUGCAGCAACCUCUACCCCCAUUUAGAAAUGUAGUCUACCCCCACAAAAAUGUAUGGAUUCCCAAAGAUAGGGAAAAGGCCUCAUAAAGUCCAAGUCCCUAACAGUUGAGCACUCCAUUAAAUUGCAACAAAUAUUAUUUCAAAAUAAUAUUGUGAUAUUUGAUUAUAAUAUGUCUAAUUUUAAAAUAUAUUUAAUAUUAAAAUUAUGAUCUUUUUAAUUCAAUUGUAUUAAAUGAUAUAAAAUAAAUUGUGAUAUAUGUAUAAUUUUUUAAUAUUUAAUUAAUCUAUUAAUGAUGUUAAAAACACUAUGAACAAAAUUAUCAUGAUAAUUUUUAUAUUUUUGGUAAUCAAUUAAAUGAAAAAAAUUUCAUUUAAUUAUAAAAUAAUUAUAAUUAAUUUGUUCUCUAAAAUAUUCUUUCAAUAUUUUAUUUACAUGAUGACUUUGAAUAUAAAUAUGUUUGGUGCAAUACAUUUAACAAGGGACAUACUUGCCCUAGUGGUAGGCCAUGGUUCAGGUAAGUCUCUUGUUUGGGGUUCAAGUCUCCUUAAUAAGCUUUCACUAUACCUGUUUACCUGGUUUAGACAACAUUUGUAUAUUUGUGCUCCUUAUAACCUGGUUUGGACAACAUUUGUAGCGAUACAAGUGAUCAUCCUAGAUGGAAUUCUUGGCCCUCGACAAAAAAUACCUCUUCUCAUAUUGAACACUUGAAGUACUAAUAUCCACCGUAGGUCUUGCCUUUGCAUCCUUCUGGUUGAGUAAAUACAUUGGGGUUCAAUGGUCUAUGAAUAAUAGAAUGGCAGUAUGCAAUAGAUAGUUUCUAAACUUGUCAAAUGUGAACACCAUAGCAAGCAACUCUUUCUUGAUAGUUGUGUAAGCUCUUUGAGCUUCAUUAAGGGUCUUGUUAGCAUAGUAGAUGACAUAUGACUUUCCUUCCUCUCCAAGCCUAGCAUUACUCAUAACAUCCAUAUGCUUGUUCCUUAUAUCUCCUUACUUUAUAUAAAAGUACGAAAUGUUUUUACAAUUUUUUUUCUAAAAAUAACCUUAUCAUUUCUAUUUUAUGUGCUUAUAUCCUAAUAUUAUUAUAUAUAAUUAAUUCAAAUAAUGUUUCUAGAUAACCUAUAAAAAUACUUUUAUGACUUAAAAAAAUGUUUAGCAAACUUUUCAUAGAAAACAACUUUUUUUUUGAGAAUUUAUUAUGAAAACAAGUAUUUUAAAGAACAAAUUUAAGGUGCUUUCAAUUAUUUUUUGUAAAGUAUUCCAGACAAUAAUUGAAAAUGUGAAAAUUACUUUUCAAACUUGUGCAUUGUAAAUUAGUGUAUAGUAACUUGAUGGAGAAUAAGGUAAUAAAACUAAUUUUCAUAUUUGAAUUCUCAAAACUUUGUUCUUGGUUUUCAAAAACAUUAUCAACUAUAUCCAAUUGGUACUAAUUGAUUUGGUUUUUGUGUUUCAAAUUACUUUUAAAUAAAUCCAACAUAUUAAGUCUUAUUUGUUUAGAGUCUAAAAAAUUUUGCAUAGAGUAAAUUGUGGAGAGCCAAAGUACUCAUUAGAGAAUGGUUUUGUUUUCUAAAUUUGGUUAUAUUUCUUCAUGUUUCCUUUUUACUCUAUAAGCACAACCAAAAACUUGUUCUCUCAAAGUUCAUAUCUUUUUUUUUUUAAUUUUAAAAUACUGUUUCUAGAUGAAAAAAAAAAAAAACAUAAAGACAAUUUUAGUUCUCGAAAAAUUUGAGGGAAAAUGUGAGAGAAAGAAAAUAAAGAGGAAAAGUGAAAGGAAAGAUUAUUUUUAUAUGUUUCUUCAAAUUUAAGAUUAAAUAUUCUUUAAAUAUAUGAAUUUCUAACUAAUUUUAAUUACAUUUUAUUUUCUUUCAUAUUUUUCAUGGUGAAACCAAAUUUUAAAGCUGAAUCAAAUUGAACCAUACUCAGUUCAACUAAAACAACAUUAAAAAAAACUUCAUCCUUCUUUAUUUUCCUAUAUUUUCUCCAAACAGAAGGCAAAGUCAAACAUAAAUUAAAUUCCCCAACCACCCAUCAACAAAACAACUAGUUCCACAAAAAUCCCAACAACUUCCUAAGAAAUUCCCCAAGCACCUAUCAUAAAAACACCCAAUUGAAGAAAAAACCCUAACAAAUUCCAAAUAAAUUUCUCUACAAAAGGUGAGGAAAAAAAACAUGAAUAAGACUCAUUGUGAGAGGAUGACACAGGAAUAAACCCUAAAAGGUCGGAGUUUGGUAGGAAAUCAAGGCCAUUAGUGGGAAUCCAUGGUGUCUCUACAACCUGAGGAAAUACAGUUGUUGAAAUCAGAGGUGAGAACUAAUAAAUAGUCCAUGUAAACCAUUGAUUUUCCUAUCGUUUUCAUUUUGACUCCCUUUCCAAUGGUUAUGAUUUGAAGAGAAAGAGGUUUCGUACUUCCUUCUCGCCAACACGAUGUUAAUGCUGUAGACAACAAACUUCAUGUAAAGAUGGAAAAAUGGUUAGGCCACUUUCUCCAAGACAUGAGGGUUAGGGUUCCACUAAGUAAGCCUGUUUCGUGGGGUUAGGUCUCCACCAGAGAACAUAUGUUGAUUCAUUUUGGUUUUCAUUUUAAUAAUUUUUUAAUUUUUUAAUUUUGUUUUAUUAUGGUUAUAAGUUGGAAAUUAUGUUUUAUUUUGGUUUAACAUGUAUUAUUAUGUUUUAAAAGGUUAAUUAUGUUUCAAUAAGUUUCUAAGGUGGUGAUUUUAUUUUAUUAAGGUUAUAAGUUAUGAUUCCCAUAGAUCUCUCCCUUUUUGAUAUUUCUCAAGCCUUUUUUUUCUCAUCUUUAUUUGCUUAAAAAAAUUCUUUAAUUAUCUCUCAGGCUACUAGUUUCUGAGGUUUUUUCCAAUUAUUUUGUUUCAUUUCAUUUCAAUUGAUAUGAAAACCCAAUCUAGGAUAGUUUGGGUGUAGAUGAUGAUCACAAAACCAUCACCUUCAUAAACCAGAAAUCUCACUGCCCCUUGUAGUUGUGUUGGCUUUCACUGUUUAAACCAUGGACAUUUUUUUUUCUCCUCUUGUUGUAGCUUGUCAAUUUUCCCCUAAUUUAUUCUUGUUUGAGCUUAGAAAAAUAAAAAAUAAAAAUUGAGAAUUGAACUAUAAAAAUUUAAAAAAAGAACAGAAAAAAAAUGAUAAAAAGAAGAAAGAGGGAAAAAACCUUUCUUGCUUUUAUUCUUGAGCUGUUAUUGCUAGAUAUUGCAGAAACAUACAAUUUCAUAUUGAUGCACAUAGAUGGAUAUUGCAAAAGCAUAUGAUUUCAAAUUAUACCUAUUUCAUGUUUGAAACAAAUUUUUGUAAGUUGGGGUGUUUACUUGGUUGUAAAUAAAUUCAUAUGUUUCUUCUGACAGCUCUGUUUACUAAUAUUUAUAAUAUUACUGAGUAUCUCUGUAUUUUGUUCUCUUUGGUAAAACUGUUUGUGUUUGACCUUUACUUCUAUGUCAAUUUUCUUUCUUAAAGGGGAAGGUGAAUAUCGAAGCUAAGGCUGGGGUGAAAUUGGAAAUACCCAAUGGAGCUGUAGUUGCAAACAAGGUAACGUUGCUGGAAACCAGGUCCUUCAUUUUAACCAGAGGUUAUCGUUUUAUCUGCGCUCACUAUAUUAUUAUGAUUUUCAGGUGAUCAAUGGUCCUCAGGACAUCUAAGGAAACUGUUUGUCUUAAAUUUGUCUUGGAGAGUGUACACAUCUAAAAACACUGUAACGGGUCCUAUUUUGAUCGUGCACAUUAAGUAUUUGAUAGAAUAAGAGGACCAUUUUGUUUGCAAUGACACUCUUAUUUGAAAUAUUGCAAGUUUUAAUGGCUACCUUUCUGCUGACGGGGAAAUGUUUUGUGAGAAUGGUGGAACUCCACCAGUAAUUAGAUGAAGUCCAGUGAAACAAAACUAAAUAUGGAAUGGUGGUGCCUUUAAAUGAGAUGUGUGGGUCUUGCUGGACUGAAAGCAUUGAUUUUGAGAAGGUGCCCGGGUGGGCUGUUAGCCCCGUGUUCCUUCUGACUAGGCCACUGGAUAUCUUUGGGUCUUUUUUUUGUGGAGCUCAGCCUGCUUGUUCUCGGGAGCUACCUAACAGAUUGUGUUUAUUUAGCCUUAUUAAAUGGUCUUGUCUUGACCUAAGUCAUCUAACAUUUUCAUAAAAAAAAACAACUAAUAGGUUGUUCGGGUAAACAAUGUAUUAAAGUUUGACUCACAUGACACAUUGACCUUACCGAAGACCCAGUAAACCAGCUCAAAGGUGUUAAAUUGUGGAGAUGGAAUAAGGAAUCAACGGCAAGGUCAUGGGGAACUACCAAACAUUGAAUGUGACAACCAACAAAAGGAAAGGACUCACAAAUGGAAGGUAAAAGGUGUAGAUCAAGUUGGUGGCACAGAGGACUAACAAUAUGUUAAAGUAUAUUUUUUUGUUAGUGAAUUUUUUUAUGAAAUAUCUAAAUCUUAUAUUUGUCAUAGUGUUUCUUUACCAUGGUUGAAAAAAUAACUCCUUCAACUUGCAUUAUUUUCAUCCUUUAAACCCGAGAUUUAACACAAGAUAAAAGUUAAAUCCAUAACUAAGAUCUUAGCAUCAAUUUGAAUUAUGUUCAAUGAUUUGAGUUUUUAAAAUUACAUAAGUCAUAUCAUACGUGUCAUUAGAGCACAUAUUCGACUCCAAUAAAUUUUCAGUUCUAUUUUUUUUUUUUUUUUUUUGAGUUCUUAUUAAGUGUUUGACAGAAUCAUUAAAUUUAUUAUUCAAAUGUUUUUUUAAAUAGUUUUGGUUUUGUUAAUUAAAGUCACUAAUAUGUUGGGCUCUAGAGUUUUGCAUAUGACUUGAUUGUGAUGCCCUUAGCCUUCGGGUUUUAGGGUGUUGCAGAAUGGAUAGGGCCCUAUAGACUUAUUUAUUUAGUUAGGAAUGAGUUAGAAAAAGUGACCAACCAUAUGUAAUUUCAUUUCUUCCCAUAAACAACUUUUCCUAAUAUAUAUAUAUGGACUCCAUUACUUUUACAUAAAUAUGAUUGUUUUUAAUGAUUUUUUUUAUAUGAUUUACUUAUUUUCUACAAUUGAGUUAUUUGAUUUCAUGAUGAAUAAAUAUAGUAGUGUAAAAGUCAAACGACUUAGCAAAUUUGAGGAUGAAAUUUUUAUAAGGAGCCAAGUACGUAACAUCCCUCCCUUGAUUUUGAUUUUAAGGAUAUUUUAUGCAUUUUGGAAAUUUAAAAAGACCUACUUAACUUGAUUUAGAGAUAUUUAUGUAUUUUAAAAUUUUAAAAAGACUUACCUUGAUUUUAGGGAUAUUUUUGUAUUUAAAAAAAAAAUAUAAGUGAGAUAUUUUUGGUCCUGUAAACCAUCCACUAUCUCAUCAAUUAUCUUUAUCUUGUUAUGCUUUUUAUGUGUUAUCAAUUGCCAAAAUAAAGAGAAAAAAAAAAAAGUCUCCAAAGAACUUUGAUUCAAAAAGAGUUAAAAAGCAUAAUGUUUUAAUAUUUGUUUCGUUUUUACAAUUUAAAAGUGCGGAUUGAUUCUUUCAAGAAUUUGAGUGAUUUCCUCCCAAUUAGGGUUAAUAGUGCAACAAGUUAUUUUAUAAUUCCCUAUCUAUUUUUCAUCUGUUUUUUGGAAGUGUCAAAAAAUUUUUUUUCUUUAAAGUAUAUUUUGAUUUGCUCCUUAAUUUAUUAAAUAAAUUGGGAAUAUCAUAUUAUUUGUUUAUUGUUUGACAAGUAAAUUUUAUCGUUUGAUUUAUUAUAUAUGAUGAUUUUGAAACUUUGGUUAUUAGUGGCCUUGGUCAACAUGAAAUAAGUUGUUGACCUUCAUUACAACCCUAACCAAUCAGGGUGUUUUUGGCUUUUGGUAUAUCAUUAAUUGGAAACCGUUAUGUUUACUAGUAAGAGAAAUAUUUUGAGGCUAGCCACCUAGUGAAAGUCCCAAUAUUUUGGUAUAGUGUUAGUAGACCAGAAUAAAAUUUUUGUGAAAUUCUUUUGAAUAUGAGUUGAUCAUGUAAAAUGUAUUAUUUGGCUCUAUCUUUAAAUUGAAAGUGUUGAAGUUUUCAAAAAAGUGAAUUAAAUGAGCUUGCUUGCUAAUUGUUUUGCUAAUUAUAUUUGCUAAAGACGUGAUAUAUCCCAUGAUUUAAUUUUGUACUAUACUUGAUCCUUCUUAUUAAACUAUUUUUUCUUACUGAGUUGCCAAACUCACCCAUAUUUAUUAUUCAACUUUUCAAGAUCAAGUGAUAUCGGAGAGGAGGGAUUAGAAUGUUUUGAUCAUAAACUACUUUAGAUUUGAUUUUAGUUAGGAUUCUUGACUUAAGACUCUUUUCAGUUCUGUCUUUUUUUUUUUUUUUUUUGAAUUAUUAUUUAAGUGUUUGAUAGAAUCAUUAAAUUAAAUAGUUUAGGUUUUGUUGAUUAAAUUCAUUAAGAUGAUGGGCUCUAAAGUUUUGUAUGUGAUUUGAUCGUGAUGCCCUUGACAUUCUAGUUUUGGGAUGUGAUUUGACCGUGAUGCCCUUGACCUCCUAGUUUUGGGAUGUGACGAUGGUUUACUUAAAUUGUUCGUAAUUUGGUCAAAUGAUUCAUACAUAAAUCACAUUUUCACUUUAAUAUCUUAGUCAUAUAUUUUGUAUUUUGAUCAUAUUACUUGUAUCUAGGUGACCACUUGAAAUAUAUUUAAUGUUAAAAACUAAGAUGCAUGUUUAACUGAUUUGCUUAUUCUUUGAAGUGAUUCUUCUAUGUUAAUCAUGUAUUUUCAUUAAGACGUGUGAGACUUGCCAUUUUACUAGACUUGAUCGAGUAGUGAUAAGACAAAAAAACCUACAUGCAUCAAAACUAUUUUUGAAAAAUAUCUUUCUAUUCUCUAAAUUAGAAGUAGUUUUCUCACUUACAAAAUAUGUUUCACAAAUUUUUAGUUAAAACAGUUUAUAAUAAUAGGAUCUUUAAUCAUGAUUUUUUUUUUCUAGAAAAAAAUUAUCUGAAAAACGUUUCUUACAAAGACUUUUUUCGACGUAACAAUUUCUACCUUCCCACAUGGGUUAAACUCAGAUUUAAGGGGGCUUUUUAAAGGUGUCAUGACCAACUUUCUUUAUGCGUGUAGUAUACCAGUCGCCUCAAAUUUCUCUUCUUCGGAGCCGGAGACUUUGCCUUGUGGAAAGACUAAGAUGAGUGGCUUCCCCCACUAAAUGCUGGUCUACAGUGUCAGUAUCACCACCAAUUGCUACACCAUUUCCUACUUUACCGUGUGGAAAGACUCAGAUGAGUCGCUGCCCCCACUAAAUGCUGGUCUUCCCUGUCUUUAUCAUCACCAAUUUCUACACCAUUUCCAACUUUCCACGUAGGGCGGCUUCAGCUAAUAAAACAAAAUUAUUUGGUGAGUCUUAUGUUUGUUUCUUCUUCAAAGUCUUCUUUAACAUCAACCGACAAACAAAGCGCCUUCUUUGACGGUGCUGAUCCAAUAUUUUUUCCUUGAAUGAAAAACCAAAUAACAAUUUGUAGAGUGUCUAACACGCAAGACUGACGAUUCCAAAUAAAAAAAAACACUUAGCUGUGUUUGAAAAUGUUUUUUAAAAUUGUUUUUAAAAAUAAUUUAUAAAAAUUGUGAAUCAAUAUUUUAUAGAACAAAAUUCUGUUUGAAAAUUUAAAAUAUUUUAACAUGUCUUUAAAUAUAUUUUAAAAAUAUUUUUUUUUAUAUAUAUUACUUUAUUUUUUAUUAUUCUUUAUUGAUAUAAUUAUUUUUUAAAACAUUCCUUAAAAAAUAAGUGAAAAUAGUUGAAAAUAUUUAAAAGAUAUUCUUUGCAACAAAAAUUUAUUUUAUGUUGAUGAAUUUUAAAAUUUUCAAUUAUAUACAAAUUUAUUUAUCUUGAUGAAUAGAUUAAAAAGGAAAAAGAAUUACUUAGUUGAAAUAAAAUAUCAUCUCAAAAUAAAUUAUUUAAAAAAAUAUUGUCUUAAAGAAAAAAAUUAGAAAAAAAAAUUCAUGUAGAAGAUCAUAUGCUACAAUUUGGAAUAAAAAUAUAAUUAAUUUAUUAAUAUUACAAGAAAAUUAAAAUUUUGUUUAUAAGAAUCAAGAAUUGAACUAAUUAAAAAAUUGUAGGAGAGAGGUAAAUUGAGUUCCUAAAAUUUAAUUUUGCUCCCAAAAAUAGCAAAAUCACUUACAAAAUCAAUAAGAUGCUCUCAAAUUUUCAAACAACACUCCUAAAAGCAAUUAUUUUGCUCCAUAAAUUUGUAAUUUUGCUCCCAAGGGUGAAAUUAAAACAUUAUUGGUUGGUCAUGUUGCUUUGCAAUUUUAUUCUCAUUUAUUUGUACCUUAAAUCUUAUUGCUUUGUAACAUUAAUCUCUUGACUUUGUAACUUGAUCCCAUUGCAUUCUACCUUUGGUUAAAACUUGAUCCCAUUACUUUGUAAUUUGUAUCUAGAUUUUAUUACUUUGUACAUUCUCAUUAUUAUGUACCUUUGUUUCUACCAUUUUUUUUUUAUAUUGGAUCAUUAUUUAAUGAAAUGGCUAACAUAAUCCUAAAAAUGCUCCCAUGAGUACAAUUGUUCCAUAUUGGACCAUUUAAGCGAAUGGAGAAUGAAUGUUUUAUAAAUGAGUUCUUCGAGUCCUCUAUACUUGGUCUCAUUACUUGUCACUACUACAAAAAUCGAAAAUCAUAAUGCUUUAAUCCUUAGCACUUUCAAAAAGUAUCUAUAUGUUGGGAUAUACGGUGGCACUUAUCAGAAGUGUAAAUUGUUAUUGUAGUUUUUUUUAUUCCAUGACGUUUAUUAGAAGCAUCAUUAUUCGGUGUGACUUUUAUAAGUAUAACUGGGUAUACCAUGGCAUUUUAUGGCAACAUCAUGGUUGUGGUAUUUUACAUUAGUGACAUUGAAUAAUAGGUAUAUAUAUGUUUCAAAUAUAUAUAUUAAAUUUCUUUUGUCCCUCUCUAUGAGCACCUGCCAAAUUCCCUCAUCCAUUUCAAAACUCGAAAUAUUUGAAAACCGUGGAGCUCGUCACUGAAAUCAACUAUUGAACAACAACCGAAUGAUGAGUCGUUGAAGACUUACCACUACACCAUUAUCACAUAUCCCUCCUUUCAUUUUCCUAAACCUCGAAUUUGUUAAUCAAAGUUGGCACUAUUUCAAAGAGCUGAUAGGUUUCCCUAUAAGCAUUGACACUCACCCUAUAUUAGAGCAUUUUGAGGAGAAAUCAAUUAGUAUUUGUUAAGCAUAGGUAACCUAUGUGGUGAGAAACCUUUGCUUCAUCCAUUAUUAAGUCAUAGUUGAAAUGCCCCAAACAUUUGAAUCCACAUUGGUUGCCAUAAUCCAUUCCCCCUUGCAAACUCCAAUGAAAUGCCCUAACCCAUUGGAAUGAUCGUAACCAACUUCCAAGGGAGGUCACUGAUAGGCGGACGAGAAGGUCAGAAAGGAUUCCUAAGAAGAAUCCCAAGUUUUUAGCUUAAGUUAGACCAAGUCUAACCAAAGAGUUGUCAACCGUUUAAUUUAUUUUUUGCUUUUGUUUUGUAUUUUUGCACAUUCAAAUUUGUUACAAGGUAUUCCCUUGAGUUUAGGCUAGUUAGUUUCCGGAGUUGAAGCUGAUCAGUUAAACUUUACUCUAUUUAUUGAAACAUUAGCAAUGAAUAAAUGACAACAUAUUUAUCCUACAAACAAUUGUGGUUUAUCUUUCACCCAAAGAAAGUGAGUAUUUCUAUGAGUUAUUGUUGCUACCUGAUUGGGACCUAACAUUGGUAUCAGAGCAUCGCUACAAUGACAUCCAACAAAGAGAGGAUCGAGGGUUUGGAGACUGGGCUUGGUGGAGUUCAAGAUAGAAUACAACGAUUAGAGGAAAUCGUCAACAAGCGUGCUUCCAACUAAAGAAGCCUCUAGCAAUAACAACAAUGGGCGAGAAGGAUCCUUUUGUUCGGAUUGAGAGGAGAAUGAUGGUGGCAAACAAGUUUUUUCUUCCAAGAUGGCAAGGUUGGAAUUUCCAAAAUACUCCGGAGAAGAUCUAACUGAAUGGCUUAGUUGAGUAGCUCAAUUAUUUGAGUUUCAAGGCACAACAGACAACCAAAAGGUAACUCUAGCAUCUUUCCACCUUGAAGGAAAAGCUAACCAAUGGUGGCAAUGGUUGCGUCGAGCUUACUAAGAGGAAGACCGCUUGGUGACAUGGGAGUUCUUUGAGGAGGAACUAUGGGCUCAUUUUUUGGACCGACAAAGUGUGAAGAUUUUGAUGAAACUCUAUCCAAAGUUCAACAGGUCGGAUC